rnacentral:siRNA from 1 species
AAAUCGGUUUAAUCGGGUCGGGUU